GCUGGGCUUGGUGGUGCAUGCCUGUAAUCCCAGAAACUUAGGAGGCUGAGGCAGGAGGAUCUCAAGUUCAAAGCCAGCCUGGACAACUCAUCAAGGCCCUAAGCAACUUAGUGAGACCCCGUCUGUA
rnacentral:sRNA from 1 species